rnacentral:lncRNA from 1 species
UUUGUUUAAGUUCUAUUUUCCUAUUUUAUCUUUUAAGAGAAGUUCCCAUAUCUAGUUCAAGUAAAAGAAAAGAAAUAACAAUGAGACUGCGAAUUAUUAUUAUUGCCUGUUUCACAAGCUAAUUAGUUUUUGAUUAAAAAUGUAAAAGAUAGGAUUUGAUUUAGCUUGGAUGAUCAAGAUUAUUGAAUUGGGAAAAUGGCUUGAAAUGGUAGGGAA